UAAACUACACGGCCAAAUAUUUAACAAUUUACAAACUUACUUUCACAAAUGCUUACGAAGAAGACGAAGACGACAACCAAGAUCAGUGAAAUUACCUAAACAAAAAAAGCAGAGUAAUUAAGUUACGAACUCUGAUAAAUACAACUAACAAUAAUUUUUGUUUACAUAUUACCCAUCAAAUAAAAGAGAAACAAACACAUCAACACCAUGAGAUACAAGAGACAAUCCCAACAGACACAAAUGCGGCAACAAUAUCUCCACCUGCUCACUCCUCUUGUCUUAUAAAAAUAGCUUAUAUGCUCAAUGUCAACAUACCAACGCUAUUGUCUUCUUAUGAGAAAUACAUAUAUUCGUUUAAAACCCAUAAAGACCCAAAUACUAAUUGUCACUCAUUUUAUAGUUAUUUCUACAAGUCUUCGUAUAUUUGUUUUAAAGGUCCGGUAAAAACAACAAGUUUAAAAGUAAAAAAACAUAUAACUAACAUAAUAAUAAUAAAAAAAAAUUAUUACUUAAUACACACAACUUACACAACUAAACUGGAGAAAAAAUAUCCAGAAACAAAAGGUACUCUCAACAACCUUAAUAUAAUUUAUGUAAUCUCAACAGUACAAGUAACAAAUUAAAAAGACAAACAAACAAUAAGUCUCAGUGACACAACAAACAACACCACGAACUAUAUCAAUCACAUUAUUAACAC
rnacentral:lncRNA from 1 species